GUUAGAGAAAGGGCCCUUCCUCAUGCAAAACUACAAGUUGAUUCCCUGUUGUCUGGGAUUCAGCUUCAAGCCAGGGGUUUAGUCUCUGGCCCUCGCUUCCUCCACGGACUCCUGGUAAUGCAGUUGAUGUGUAUUGCCUCCCACAUCCGCCAGGCUGCUCGAACUCCUGUCCUGGUGUGUCUCCCAGUCGCUCCUGAUUAUGUGGGGCCUCUCUUAGGCAUUGUGGCCAAAAGUGCUUCCCUAGUACUGAGGUGGGGUUUGUGUCUUGUGCUUCUGUGGCUCAGCGUUGACUGCUGCUGUACUUGCUGUUAAAUACUACAGUUGUGAAUUUUCUCUUUCCCAUUAUGCUGUUUCCUGAGGAUAGUAAUGACAUGUCAUUGAUUCCUGUGUCCCUAGUGUCUCCCACAUGACAAUAAACAAAGCAGGAAACGCAA
rnacentral:lncRNA from 1 species